GGGGAUGAAAUUGGAUUCGAUUGGGCAUGGAACGGAUAUAAUUCGCAGGAGCGACUACCUAAUAGUCAAAUUUAAAAUAAACGCUGAAGAAUUAAGAAUGGUAGCGUAAGCUAUAUCAGUCUGUGAGAUUGGGAUAUUGGUAACAGGCUGUAUUAAGAGCUAAUAUCCAAAAGGAGAAUGUUUUCUCUGUAAGUUGACUCUUUAAAAAACAACAGAGUGGUGGACGUUGUAAGAAACCUUUACAAACCCAAAAACGGAGUAGUUACCUGAUUCACUGGGGCAACCGUUUUCAAACAAAAUGCCCGAAUGAAUGGUAUUGCGUAAAAGAUUAUAUAAUUAGUACGUGUUUAAGACGGGGGUUCGACUCCCCCCAUCUCCACUG
rnacentral:tmRNA from 2 species